CGGAUCCCCGAGUUCGAGGUGUCCGGGCUGUGCCCCAGCAGGACGCAGCGGGAGGCCCUGGGAGGCACGGCCUGGGCCCCAGCGAGUGGGCUGCCCUGGGCAUGAGAGGGAGCGGCUUUAGAGCCAUCAUUAAUUCUUUAGCUGAGGGAUGAGAUAAUGACCUGAUCUUCUCUCUCCAGCUAAAAUUGUCUCUUUUUCUAGCUUAAGGUUGUAUGUAUAUUUUUUUUUCUUUUGUUUGACCUGUAAGUGAAGCCGAACUAGUAAAAUAAUGGUAAUUUUCUUCAAUUUCUCUUUUUGUUUCUACCUUUCCCCCCCCGCCUUCUCUCUAGUCUUGUAGGACCAUCACAGCAGUGUUCCAGAUUUCUGAGGAAGUGAAAUGGAGUUGCACUUAGAGGCAAUAUGGUUUUGACACAUCAGAGAGCAUCAGUGUAAUUGCAAACAGUACUUCUGUUUUUGUUGCCUCUUUAAACUGUUCGCUAAGAUGGUAUGGACUACAACAGAUUGAGAGACUUCAAAUGAAGCAAGCAUAUUCGCUUA